rnacentral:rRNA from 1 species
CCUACGGGAGGCAGCAGUGAGGAAUAUUGGUCAAUGGACGAGAGUCUGAACCAGCCAAGUAGCGUGAAGGAUGACUGCCCUCUGGGUUGUAAACUUCUUUUAUAUGGGAAUAAAAUGUUCCACGUGUGGGAUUUUGUAUGUACCAUAUGAAUAAGGAUCGGCUAACUCCGUGCCAGCAGCCGCGGUAAUACGGAGGAUCCGAUCGUUAUCCGGAUUUAUUGGGGUUAAAGGGAGCGUCGGUGGAUUGUUAAGUCAGUUGUGAAAGUUUGCGGCUCAACCGGAAAAUUGCAGUUGAAACUGGCAGUCUUGAGUACAGUAGAGGUGGGCGGAAUUCGUGGUGUAGCGGUGAAAUGCUUAGAGAUCACGAAGAACUCCGAUUGCGAAGGCAGUUCACUGGACUGCAACUGACACUGAGGCUCGAAAGUGUGGGUAUCAAACAGGAUUAGAUACCCCAGUAGUC